rnacentral:rRNA from 1 species
GAUGAACGCUGGCGGCGUGCCUAAUACAUGCAAGUCGAGCGAACAGACGAGGAGCUUGCUCCUCUGACGUUAGCGACGGACGGGUGAGUAACACGUGGAUAACCUACCUAUAAGACUGGGAUAACUGCGGGAAACCGGAGCUAAUACCGGGUAAUAUAUUGAACGGCAUGGUUCAAUAGUGAAAGACGUUUUGGCUGUCACUGAUAGAUAGAUCCGCGCCGCAUUAGCUAGUUGGUAAGGUAACGGCUUACCAAGGCGACGAUGCGUAGCCGACCUGAGAGCGUGUACGGCCACAGUGGAACUGAGCGACGGUCCAGACUCCUACGGGAGGCAGAAGUAGGGACUCUUCGGCAAUGGGCGAAAGCCUGCCGGAGCAACGCCGGGUGAGUGAUGAAGGUCUUCGGAUCGUAUAACUCUGUUCUUAGGGAAGACCAAAUGUGUAAGUAACUAUGCACGUCUUGACGGUACCUAAUCAGAAAGCAACGGCUAACUACGUG